UGGGGAAUAUUGCACAAUGGGCGAAAGCCCGAUGCAGCAACGCCGCGUGAGUGAUGAAGGCCUUCGGGUUGUAAAGCUCUGUCUUUUGGGACGAUAAUGACGGUACCAAAGGAGGAAGCCACGGCUAACUACGUGCCAGCAGCCGCGGUAAUACGUAGGUGGCAAGCGUUGUCCGGAUUUACUGGGCGUAAAGGAUGCGUAGGCGGAUUUUUAAGUGAGAUGUGAAAUACCCGGGCUUAACUUGGGUGCUGCAUUUCAAACUGGGAAUCUAGAGUGCGGGAGAGGAGAAUGGAAUUCCUAGUGUAGCGGUGAAAUGCGUAGAGAUUAGGAAGAACACCAGUGGCGAAGGCGAUUCUCUGGACCGUAACUGACGCUGAGGCAUGAAAGCGUGGGUAGCAAACAGGAUUAGAUACCCUGGUAGUCCACGCCGUAAACGAUGAGUACUAGGUGUAGGAGGUAUCGACCCCUUCUGUGCCGCAGUUAACACAAUAAGUACUCCGCCUGGGAAGUACGAUCGCAAGAUUAAAACUCAAAGGAAUUGACGGGGUCAUAGCUGUUUUCCU
rnacentral:rRNA from 1 species